GCAUGCCACACUAGAUAACUACGAACCAGAUAUAAAUCUUGUAGAUGAUGGGCAAAGGGGGAGCCAGAUCACAAUUGGGUUGAUGAAGUAGUUAGAUGUGAAGCAAGAGGUGGUGUGGGUGUUGGUAGUGAUCUCAGCCUGAGCUACCUUAGGCCAAGACGGGAAAAAAAAAGAUUGCACUCUAUUGACUCGAGAAGAGAUUGAAAAUCCAAAAAUAUGGGCUCAAAUUUGCGUCCAGAAAAUAGUAGAAUUGGCCAAGGAGAGUACGACAAUGCACCAGGUUUUAGAUCCAAUGUUUCGCUUGCUUUGAUAAU